AGAGUUGAUCCUGGCUCAGAACGAACGCUGCGGCAGGCUAACACAUGCAAGUCGAGCGAGAUCUUCGGAUCUAGCGGCGACGGGUGAGUAACGCGUGGGAAUAUGCCCUUCUCUACGGAAUAGCCUCGGGAAACUGGGAGUAAUACCGUAUACGCCUUAGGGGGAAAGGAUUUAUCGGAGAAGGAUUAGCCCGCGUUGGAUUAGGUAGUUGGUGGGGUAAUGGCCUACCAAGCCGACGAUCCAUAGCUGGUUUGAGAGGAUGAUCAGCCACACUGGGACUGAGACACGGCCCAGACCCCUACGGGAGGCAGCAGUGGGGAAUCUUAGACAAUGGGGGCAACCCUGAUCUAGCCAUGCCGCGUGAGUGAUGAAGGCCUUAGGGUUGUAAAGCUCUUUCAGCUGGGAAGAUAAUGACGGUACCAGCAGAAGAAGCCCCGGCUAACUCCGUG
rnacentral:rRNA from 1 species